rnacentral:rRNA from 1 species
UAUGAUGAGAGAUUUAUGGAUUGUGGACUCGACGACCUGGGCUAUACCGGUGACCUUUUCACUUGGAGGAGAGGCGAAAUAUGUGAGCGUCUUGAUCGGGCGGUCUGUAAUUUAGCGUGGGAAAAUAAAUUCCCACGAGCGGCAGUGAUCAACGAAGAACAUGUUCAUUCUGACCACCGCCCAAUUGUACUGGACAUGGAUUAUUUGGAUGAAAAGGUGUUUAAUCGACCAGAGGGGCGCGUUAAACAAUUUGAGGCGAGGUGGUUGAGGGAAAAGACAGUCACUGAAAUUGUUAAGGCAUCUUGGGAGAAAGCUAAGCUUGCAGGUAUUGGACCUUCACUUGCUGAUCGUACGAGAGCAGUGCAUGCCGGUUUGCAUACUUGGGAUCGGGAAAUUCUAAAGGGACCGAAGGUAAGAAUUAGGAAAUUAAAAAAGGAAUUGGAAAGAUUAAGGCAUGGCCCACUGAAUACGGAAUCUCGAUGUCGUCAGAAGGAAAUUAUUGUGCUAAUUAAAAACAUUUUGGAUCAAGAGGAAAUUUUCUGGUUAUAA